CAGCAGCCGCGGGAAUACGUAGGGUGCGAGCGUUAAUCGGAAUUACUGGGCGUAAAGCGUGCGCAGGCGGUUGUGUAAGACAGGUGUGAAAUCCCCGGGCUUAACCUGGGAACUGCGCUUGUGACUGCACAGCUAGAGUAUGGCAGAGGGGGGUGGAAUUCCACGUGUAGCAGUGAAAUGCGUAGAGAUGUGGAGGAACACCGAUGGCGAAGGCAGCCCCCUGGGCCAAUACUGACGCUCAUGCACGAAAGCGUGGGGAGCAAACAGGAUUAGAGACCCGCGUAGUCCCUGUCUCUUAUAC
rnacentral:rRNA from 1 species